UUGGAAUGAUUGGACAUAUUGUAUAUAUCUAGACACCGAUCAAAUCGAAGACCGAAGCUCGAGCCUGAAAGAAGGAGAGAGUGGAAACAUGAAACCAAGUGAGGUGUGAACUGUAUAAGGUGUGAGGUAAAAUCGAUGAGCGUGAGUUAGAUGAAUGAGAUACACUUCCACGUUUUGCGUGAUUUUGUGGCGACGAACAAAAGAAUAGAUUGGAAUUCACAUAUCAAUUGCAUUUAAUAAUAGAAAUUGCACUAUGCAAAGAGAGGAAAAACAACAAGACUCGGCCUUAGAAGCCAUAAUAAUGCGAGUGAACGAUCUAAAGAACGCGAUUUCUGCAAUGAUAUUCAAAGUGGAACAUGAAUACGAAACUUUAAAUUGGCCGAAUUUCCUAGACAAUUUUGCUCUUAUCUCGGGUCAUCUGACCAGCCUCUCAAAAGUUCUUGGACAUGACAAAGCCUUGAAUCUUAGGGGUCUAACAGUUUUACCAUUACGCUUGAGUCCGGAGAAGGACGAGGAAUUGCUACGACUCACGGAGAAUCGAAUCCCUACAUUCGCACAUGAUCUGGUCCCAGAUUAUCUGAGAACAAAGUUGGAGCCCCAAGCCGAACAAAAAAUGAUGCAAUUAGAAGCCAAGGCCGCAAAUGUUAACAUCGACACGUCACAUGACUACAAUAAACAACUAGCGCAGUAUACAAAGGUGAUUAGUCAUGUGUGGGACAUAGCGAAUAAGGCGCGCGAAGAUUGGGAGGGUGAAGUUAGCACCAGAGCGACACAAGCGCAGACUAGUAGCGCUGCAGAUACUCAUGCUCUUCUAGCUGCUGUGGGGAUGGGUAAAGGUUUGAAAUCUGAUUCGAUACAAAUGGUUCAAUCCGGCGUAAAUCCAGUAGCUAACAGUAUGAUGGUAGGCAGACCUGGCAAUCAGCAGCAAACAACAGGGCAAGGGCCACUGGGUAAUCCACCAAUGGGACAAAUGAACAAGGCGCCAAGUGCAAUAAAAACCAAUAUUAAAGCGGCAUCACAGAUCCAUCCUUAUAGAUAAGAAUAUUAUAGCAUCUCUGUUAUUUAAGAUGUAUUAUACAAUGAUAAAUAUUUCAAACACGUAUUUAUUAGACACGAUCGCGUAUGACCGAGGAGAAAUACAUUUGUUCAUCACAGGCACAAUAACAGCCUCCAAAUCUUGUU